GUGCUCACUUUGGCAGCACAUAUACUAAAACAGGAACAAUACAGAGAAGAUUAUCAUGGCCUCUGCACAAAGAUGACACACAAAUUUGUGAAGUAUUUCAUAUUUUU
ensembl:snRNA U6 U6 spliceosomal RNA